CUCUUGACCUUGUGAUCCGCCCAUCUUGGCCUCCCAAAGUGCUGGGAUUACAGGAGUGAGCCACCGCACCCAGCUCUUCUUUGAGUUUUUAAGGCCACAUAAGCUGUGGAUGUUAUAGAAUUUCUUAUUUCCCUGGGCAGCAACUGGGCCUCUAUUGAGACCCAAAUGCCCUCUUCAGAGGGAACUACGAGGUCAACAAGCACAAUCCCCACAUGUGCAGUGAAGUCUCCAUACGUCCACUCUGGAGGAGGAGAUGACAAGGCAGGGAGGCUGUCAUUUCCUACUUGGGCGGACCCUUCUAGGGGCGGUCUGCUCUGGCCCCUCCGCAAUUCCAGUCAGCAGCCUAGCAUGUCACUCUGGGAGGACCGCAGGAACUAGCAAAUCCAAUAUUCUGCUUACAAAUGGAGAGACGGAGGCCCCAAGAAGAAAGCUAAGAGGUACCAUCAUCAAAGGUAAGGUGAUGGGAAGCUGCCCCAUGCCUCGGUGUUCCACUAUGAGACAGAAGACACAGUGGUUAUAACUGCCACUUACCACUGAUUGUUAAACUCAACUUCAUUUCUUUUUAUUUUUUGCCUUUGCCAUGAUAGAUUUUAUAUCUUAUCACCACAACUGUGUGGUGAUGUGGUUUGGAUGUGUGUCCCCUCCAAAUCUCAUGUUGAAAUGUGGUCCCCAGUGUUGGAGGUGGGGCCUGAUGGGAGGUGUUGGAUCAUGGCAGUGGAUUCCUCAUGCAUGGCUUGGCACUCUCUCCUUGGUGAUGAGUUCCUGCUCUGAGAUGACAACUCAGAUAACUCCAUGCUGUGGUGCUAGCACCUGAGAGACCCAUGACCGAGAGAUCUGCCCCCACAUAUAAAUCCAGAGGGAUGGGGCUGGCCUGCUGCUUCUCUUCAAGAACCAGUAGAGGCUGACGCUGCAGAGAGGGCAGCACCCCAGGGUCAAGGAAAUCACCAACAGAGGGGACCAGCAGGGGUCACCUAAGACCCCAGAACAAGAGAAACCUUUCUUAAUUUGCCACAUCCAGUGAGUUCAAUAGAAGCCUCCUGUUUCAGCCAGGGGUCCCCAGGGAAGCAGAGUAACAGGACAUGCGUGGAUAUGGAAGUGGACAUAAGCACGGGAAUGGAUGAAUAUGGAUAUGGAUAUUGAUAUAGAGAGAGGUCUGCCUCCACCCCAAGAGGACCUCGUGGACGUGGUGCCUCAGGCUCCACCAUCCCCAGGAGAAGAGUGCCAUGCUUGGACUCGUUUUUGCUGUUUUUGGGACAGUGGUGCCAUUCCCCUCCCGUGACUGACUCCUGCGUGCAGUCCCUAAUCUGCCCAUCACCGCCGGGGCACUGUCCACAGCAUUCUGUUGAUUUCCUCCACACUGUCUAACACAACCUGAAACAACCUCAUCUGCCCACCACGUCUCAUCUGUGCCUCCCUGCCUGGAACGGAGCUGCAGGAAGGCAGCGAUGUUUGUCUGGAGGUUCCCUGUUCGCUGGUGCGGGUCUAUGAGGAGGAAACACACAGAAACCAAAAGAUGGAAUCAGGCUGUCUCGGGCCACUUCCUUCCGCCACAGCUCUGCCUGGAGUGCCAGCCCCAGCACAGGUGAAUACACAGAACCAGCGCCUCCCUCCUGGAGCUUUCCUGGGGAGACCAGUGAGGGUGAACAAGGAAGCGGAUAGAGAACUCCCCGCAGCGUAAGUGCAGUGGGGACAUUUGUGGCAGGGAGUGCCUGGGGAGGGUGGUCGGGGAAGGCUGCCCCAAGGAGUUAUCAUCUGAGCAAGACCCAAAAUUGUAAGAAGUAGCACGCGGCGCUCCCAGGGAAGAGCAUGCCAGGCUGGAGGCCCUGCGGAGGGGACAAGUUCAGCAGCUUGGAGGACCAGAGAGAAAUCCAGGUGGGUACUGGCCAAGGUGGAGGUGUGAGAAGGAGGGCUGAGGACGGCUGGGGUCACACAGCACCAAGUUGUACCAGCCCAGGCACAGUUAACCAUUCAUUUUAAGAGCAAGUGAAUCCCACAUGCUUGACCCAAGGAAUUGCUGGAAAGGUGCUGACGGAUCCAAAGGAUGUAGAGUUCAAUGCCAAAGGGUGUGGCAGUCACCUCUCAGAGGCUCGGAGCAAGUGGCAGGGCAAUCAACUCCCCUGCAUUUCCAUCCACAGUGCACUAAAUGCCACUGAAUCAUCCGUCCACAGUGCACUAAAUGCCACUGAAUCGUCCACUCUGGAGUAGUUGAUAAGAUUGUUAACUUAUGUUAUGUGAGCUUCACCGUGAAAUAAAUGUGUGUGUCUUCAUCCACAGCUCCUGCCUCCUAACUCACACAGCCCUGGUUAUAGCCUUUUGUUAUCACGUUGGGGCAGUUUAGGCCUCAGGAAGCUGAAUCUCAAGACCCUAAUCUGACUGUGGGUCAGAAGAUCCUCAUUCCAGGGUGGGUUCUGCCUCAUCCCCUAGAGGAAGAAAUGCUGCCGAGAAGCUGAGAAGAGUCUGGGCCAGGCGUGGUGGCUCAUGCCUGUAAUCCCAAGACUGGGAGCCCAAGGCGGGCAGAUCACCUGAAGUCAGGAGUUCGAGGCCAGCCUGGCCAACACGGCAAAACCCCAUCUGUACUAAAAAUACAAAAAUUAGUCGGGCAUGGUGGCACGUGCCUGUAAAACCAGCUACUGGGGGUGCUGAGCCAGGAGAAUUGCUUGAACCUGGAAGGCAGAGGUUGCAGUGAGCCGAGAUCACACCACUACACUCCAGCCUGGGUGACAAAGUGAGGCUCCGUCUCAAAAAAAAAAAAAAGAAGAAUCUGGACAGACAAGCCCUGCUGAGUUUACACCACGCCCUGUGUAUCCAGUUGCAUUUCUACAUGGUUGUCAAUCAUUCCUGUCCAACGAUGUCUCCAUCAAAGGCCCAAGAGGACAGGGUUCAGGGACCUUUCAGAGAGCUGACCACGCAGAGGCUCCUGGAGGGGCUGCCCAGGGAGGGCAUGGCAGCUCCACGCCCCUUCCCCGUACCUCGUCUGUGCAUCUCUUCAUGUAUAUUCUUUGCAAUAUCACUUAUAAUAAACCAGGAAACGUGUU
rnacentral:lncRNA from 1 species